GUGAAAUGACAUCCUACUACCAUUUAGCAUUCUCUGCAUGCCGCUUAGCAACAAGUGGUAGUGUGCAUAUGAGCUUCAUUUCCUUCUGUUAAUCUGAUUUACAGUAACAGAUAACGCAGACGGCAGGGUGGCAGAAGUUUCACCUCUAGAUGGCAGCACACACAAGAUAAGUUCCAGCAUUCCAAUGGCAACUGGAUUCGUUGACUCUUCACCCUUCUCAAGUUCCGUUAAACAACCCAGUCACAACAUAGAUUUUUUAUUCUAAUAGCGAUGUGCUGACAUGGUGACACAGCGCUAGGGGAGCAGUAAACAAAGAUCCCCACUGCCGGCGAGAGUCUAAUGUUACAGCACGUUCCGUAGGGACACGCACGGAGAACAGGAUGUCCAAAUAUAACCCAUAUAAACAGAUCUUUAAAAAACAUUAAGUGAUGGAAAAUUCAAAUUUUUCGCCAGGAAAGAUACAUACCAAAAGUCAACACUUCCGCCAAGUAUGGACAAGGCAAGGGAACAAUGGAUAUAUAUCUCAGUGACAAGUUAAACACAUCACGAUCAAGGAUGUGGACCCAACUCAACCAUCCGAAAUGAGUAUCAACACAGACACUGAACUGAUCAUAUUUGACACAAGAACAAGAAUCACCACGCUGAGGCGUGACACCGACCUUGAUAUAUUUGUGUGCGCACUUUUUUUUCACUGUGUUACUGUUUCUUUUUCUUUUUCAAUGGAGAAGGGGGAUAAGGGGGGCACGUAGUUCAUUAUGUCGGCGACUUUAAAAUGACGUCAAGACAUUAUUGUUCUUGAAUUAGAAUAGAUUGCAUUAGCUUUGGACCACCGUUCCACAUAAAACUCGUGGGUGGCAAGCCUAUAUGGCACGUAAUCAUACACCCUAUAGACCCUGUACACAUGACGUCAUAA